AAGCUGUCUCCAAUGGAAAAAAACUCAACACGAGUUAAGUUCUUGGCCAUCUGGAAUAGUUGCGACGCAUAGUUUCGCUGGUGUUGUUGAGGAGACUAACCUUUCUUUUAUCUCCCAUAUAAACAUUCCAAAGAAGGAGUGAGAUCUAGCGUUUGGUCAAACUGGAAAAGAACUUGCUUUGUCAGUAUUCUGGCUAUUUUUAUUUUAUUUUUUUUUUUGCAUCUAGAAACUACUGUAAUCACUGGCAUAAGAUGUCUGUGGUAAACGGCGUGCUAGGAGUCGUGAAGUGAAACAUUCAGUGUCGCUAAAUGGUUUCUUGAGGUUGGUUGUCUGUUCUAUCACACUUUUGCCCUGGAAAGAAGGGCUGUCAGGCGCUAAGCGUAAUCUCUUGCUCAGAUUAGACAAGAAGGCCUGUACAGAGACAUAAUUCAGUUUUUGGCAAGGAAAGUAGGUAUUACAAGUGCUUGAAACUUGACCAAGCCCUGAGACCUGAAUGUGACUGGCUGUGUGUGAAGAGUUGGUGAACGCCUACAGAUAAUCUCAUGGUCUUCAGGGAGCCAAUUUAUCCUCCUGACUGGCGUUGGCGCUUUUUGCCCUCUUUUCAUGCAUAGCACUGCUAUGAGCACAAGUAAAGGAUAAAGGGACAGUUGCCUAAAAAGGGGUGUGCUCUCUAUACAAACCAUCUUCUUGGUUUCCCUCAUACUUAAAAUAUCUAGGAACAGAUGAGUAUGAGUGGAGAAAGCUGUGACCUACAUCCAUCUCCGGACUAGCUUUCCGAAUAUUCCAAGGCAUCACUGGACACGGGACACACUCAAGAAUUUUCAGUCAGGCUCUCUCCAGAGAAUGAGAUAAAGUGUGAGACUGGCUGUGAACACACCUGAGCGUCUUUCAGACCAUCCAAUAAGGCUCCUCUGUUUUGAAUAAAGCAACAAAUUCUUAAAUACCUCUUACUUCCGUUGAGGCACUCGUCAAACAACAAGCAGUUGGAAGAUGACAACCACCAGCUGAGGAGAAGCCGCCUGCAGUUUCCCACGUGAGUUAUGAACCUGCCUUCGUCCUCCUUUGAACAUCAAUCAGCUUAUUUAAUCAAAUGUGCAGCACAAUCCCCUGCAACGUCAGCCCUAACGACCUCGGCGGGAGCUCUGUGCCUGCGCUGCGCUCCCUGUGAAUAAACUGAGUCGCACAGGCCUGUGUUGAAAUUGCCCUUAUCUCAUUUUAAUUAGAUAUGUACAUGUGUUUUCCCUUUCUUACAGCGCUAUUAAGGUCAAAAUUUUAACAAAGUAUUUUGCUAAUGCCAGAAUACGUCGCUGUAACUCUUAUUAUAGUAUAAAAGUUAUGCAGUACUAAUGUAAUGAAUCGUGAAAUAAUGAAAUGUAAGUACUUUGAAAAAAAAUAUCAAAGCAAAUCUUUUUGACAUUGCUGAA